UUUUAUGCUUUAUCUGGGUUUAAAGUGUGGCUUCUGGUCCUAGAACCAGACUCUUCAGCAGGGCAAGGCAAACCAAAUUGAGGCUUCUUCCUCCCAAAGUUAAAUUGCUGAGGCAGAUGCCCAGUUCCAAGAUGAAGCCAACAGGGUCAGCUAGGACCUCAGGACUACUCAAACAUCAGAAUAUUCCUCAACAGAUUCAGGGCCCAGAUAAUUUUUGACUGAUGGUAGAGAGACCUGGAGGGGAGAUCUGAGACUAAAUAGCUGGGCCUGGGUCAAGUACAGAUCCUGCUCAGAGAGUAGGUCAGGUACGAAUCCACUGGACAGAGACGAUUGCUUCCUGCCCCUCAGAAAUGUAUAGGCUGGAACCCAAGUGUGGAAACCAUCGGUAGAUCUGGUUGUGAGGCAACCAGCAAGGGGCUGACAGCCUUGGCUCAUAUUUCCACAAAGACUCAGUUUUAAGAUGCACUUUGUCAGCUUCUGAUUAUCUACUAUCUUCCACAUAUCAAAUUAGGUUCUUUAAUUCCUUUAGCUCUGGUAACAACUUCAUGAGGGUAGUCCAGUAUUCCAAUCUUAGAGAUGAGAAGACAGAGACUAUAAGAUAAAUUAUUGGGAUAAUUAUCUUAUUGGAAUAAUUAUCAGAACUCAAGCCCAAAUCUUGAUGUGUCCACCGAUGAAGCCAUGUUUGUUUCCUACUGCUGCUAUAACACAUUACCGCAAAUUCAGUGGCUUACAACAGCACACAUUUAUUCUCUUAUGGUUCUGGAAGACCAAAGUCUAUGAUCAAAGUGUUGGCAGGGGUGGGUCCUUCUGGAGAUUUAGGGGAGGAUUAAUUGUCUGGCCUUUGUAGGCAUCUAGAUGCCACCCGCCUCCCUUAGCCUGUGGUCCCCUCCUUGCAUCACUCCAACCUCUUCCUCGUCACAUCUCCUCCCACUGAUUCCAAUCCUCUCGCCUCCCUCUUAGAAAGACUCUUGUGAUUAACCUGCGCCCGCCCAGCUCAUCGUCUUGUCUCAAGAUUCUUAACUCAUCACGUGUGCAGAUUCCCUUUUACUAGGUAAAAUACCAUAUUCUCAGAUUCUAGGCUUAGGAGGCAGACGUUCGAGGGAGCCGGUAUUUCGCCUACCAUGGGAGGGAAUGGAAGGAAGUGCCCAGAGCUGGGCAGCUUGCAAGUGGCCAGACAGAGGGAGAGUUUUAACUUUCUCUGAGGCUGAUGCGGAACAGGGACAGGGAGCAGCAACAGGAGUCCCACAGCAGGCAGGCACUUCCGUGGAGGCUGGCCAGAGGAGACUGGUUCCCAGUGGGAGAGGUCUACCAGCCUAGGGAUCUCUGAGCUGCCCGAAGCAGUAGGGACCACAGACAGAUAGCAGAAGCAUCUUGCAGCUAAAGAAAAAGCCAUAAAGGUGAUGGCCAUCAUGCAGAAAGGCCCACCUCCGGCCCUGCCUUUCUGGAAACACAUAAACUAGAAUUCUCGCGUGACCUCACAGAGUAGGGGAAGGGGUCCCGCAAAUGACUGAGAUUGAAUAUUGGUUGGCUUGACCCGUGGGGGCUGAGACAAGAUUAAAUAUCAUUUCAAGAGUUAUUAAGGGACUCUGACCUUGAACCUUUGUAUUCGUUUAAAGCCUUACCUUUUGUAGUUCCAGACUUUGGCCAUGGCCAAAGAAAGUAGGAGAGCAGGUAAAGGCAGAGAGCAAGGAGUGUCCUGCCAGGGUGCUCCAGGCACUCUUUACAGCCAGGAGGAAAGAGAAGGAACAUCUCAGGUCCUUACUCAGGGUCCAAACCUCAUCCAGACGAACCUGCUAGUUAGUUAGGCUCCUUCGAUGGCAGAUAUCGUCUGAAUAACAAUAACCAUAUUAAUAAGGAUAUCCACCAGGGGGGAAUAAAAAGAUGGCAGGGUAUUCCCAAGAGGAAAAUUAAUUUCCUUUUAUAAUCCGCUGUAGUUUAUUUCACAUAUUCAUGACCCGCCCAGUAUGUUUUUUCUUUAUGACGAGCCAUAAAAAUGACAAAAUACAUUAGCCAAGUUCUUCGUUUCUGCUAAAAUGACCAUAUUCAAAAAUAAUAACAGAGACUUGUAUCAGCGAUGCAAAAGAUGCAUGAAGUAAUUGGGGCUUAAUUUGUACACAAACUGUCAAGGCAGUUUUCCUCACGGCCUGCAUCUUCUGAAUUCAUUAGUCUCUAAUUACGGCCAGUGGGGACCAGCAGUUAGAAGGUUAAAGAGGUUCUGACAGGCCUAAUCAUUGCUCAGGAAGCUGAAAAUGUAUGCAAAGUCUCGGCAGAUGGGGUGAGAGCGGCUUCUGCCAAGUGAUAACUGUUAUUCCUUUGCACCUCCAAAGCUGUCAUCCUAAUAGGCACAUUUUAAAUUUAUUAAUGCUCUAGUUACAAUGCAUACACAGUCUCUAAUGGUAUGUCAUUCUGAGUAUAUAAACUGAGCAAUUAACACAUAUUACCUGGUAAUGGUAAAAUUAUUUGUUGCCUGUUUGAUUUAUUUAUUUAUUUUUUGGUUGUCUCCUAGUCCAGUAAGGAUUGUCCCAGGAAAAGCUUCCCUUUGUUAAACAAGAAGCAAAGCUACCUUAUAGGUAAAUUUCUCUGAUAGGAGAACCCAUCUGAGUGCCUUGGUCCAAUGCUUCACCCAGCCUGUCCCAUCCGUCACCGUGUUCUGGCCACUCACAUCAGCAUCUAGAAGUUAAAAACAGUUCAGGUGAGACACUUGGUCCGACUUUGGGGGAGAGGCAGAGACAGUCCAUCUUUAAUGAAAGGACCCUUUCAAGUGAAAAGAGGCUCAAGGUCGUAUCUCUCCUUUGUGACGUCAUGCUCACUCAGAGACAGAGAGAUGAUGUGUUCUUUAGUUUCCAAUUCAAAAGUCAUCAAUAUCUUAUCCUUCUCUGGUGCCCUCCCUGACUUGAAGCCUCAUUGCUUUUAAGCUAACUAAUCACCAGGAAGAAGUGUGUGUGUGUGUGUGUGUGUGUGUAACAAACGAGAUCUUUUGUCUUUCCUGCGACUAUAGCCAUGACAUGGGAAGGGCCGUUAAUUAAAUGCAGCACUUAGCGCAACAAUUGUUUGCGUGGAGAGGCUACAGCAAUGGAGACAGCUGGAAUGGAUAGUCUCUAAAUUGUAGGCUUCAUCCGGUCCACAAGAUUCAUAAGCGGUCCAAAUAGCAUGAUAAGAUGUUCAUCUCAGCCACAGAGCAAUUAUCCGCUCGGUGACUGACCGCCACUCUCUGCAUCCGCCGGCCCGUUUCACCUAAUUGAUUUACACUGUAUAGAAGUCAUAUAACAACAACAACAAAAAUGUCACCGAGACUUUAUGUUAAUUAAAAACUGUGAUUAGAUGUCCCUAUCAGGUGAUCUGUUGGAGAUUUUUAUGCUGUACAGAAAAGGUAUCAAACUCUUAGGUAAUAAGUUUUCUUUGCCUGAGACCAAAUAACCCAUCCAUUGUAGUUCUUUCAGUGGCUGGAAGAAGAGCCCUGGUGGAUGAACGCACGUGAGCUGUGUGACCUUGAGCAAGCGUCCUCACCUCUCUGAGCCUCAAUUUCCUCAUCCCCAAGGUGGGAAGUUGGCCUAGACAAUCUCUGACUUCUGGAAUCUCUCCCGGUCCCAAAAGUCCAUGAUUCUAUCCAGGUCCACAGCACUGUGUAACCGGGAGAGGAUUCUCCAGUCGAGCCCCAACAGUAGCCAGGAAUAGGUCUGGUCUUUCAUCUUCUACUUCCUGUUUUCAACUUGGAAGUUUAAUCUGGUUUGUGACUCUCCUGCUUAUUUAUAACGUUUUAAAAAGAUAUGUGCACAGUGGACUUUUUCCAGCCCCUUUGCUGUAUUUUUGCUAUAUGAUACAUCCGUUUAUUUCCAGAGAUUAAAAAAAACCCCACCUGUUUCAGCAUCUCUUUAAUGGGAAGUCCAGUGAGGAGAGUCUAGACGUGCCUGCAGGGUCAGCUUGCUCGUGUGAGUGGCACCGCGGGGAGAAGGGCCAUCCUGGGGACUCUGUGAAUGGUGCAUGUGUGUGGGCUGCGCACGUGGCCACACCCAGGCCUGCAGGGGUGGACCUGGUCUGGGUCACCGGUCAGCCCUCUGGCCUCCUUGGACUCUCACCUUCCUGCCUGUAGAGUGACAGUGCUGGACAGACUCCUCCCAGACUCUGUUUCUGCAACAACCUUGGAUGAUUCUCACUCCUUUUGAGCAAAGGGCAUUUCCUCAGAAUUAGCGCCGUGGUUGCUAAGUGGUUCUUAGAGGAGCCAGCGGGUAGAGACAGGAGUCCUGACAGCCACAUACAGGGGAAAAGUGUGCCUGAAAUCCUGAUCACAUUGUAGACAGCAAGCCAUGGUGUGGGACAUGACUUCUUCUCCAGGAAAAAAAGAAAACUACUGGUCAAGGUUACUAGCCAGAGGAGUUCCCACGGUGGCUCAGCAGUAAUGAAUCCGACUAGGAUCCAUGAGGAGAAGUAAGAUAAGGUGGUGUCCGGAGUAUGGGGUCUGGAGCUUGACUACCUGGAUUCAAAUCCCUGCUCAGUCAUCUCUUGGCUGUGUGACUUAAGAUGAGAAGAUACAUCUGCUUCUGCUUCUAAGAGUCGGUGAUUCUCAUCCUUCUCUCUGCACUUGCCCUUGCCGUGUCCUUGGUCAGCACAGAGGAAGGACAACAGCACAUCUCCCUCACAUCGGAAGUGGCUCCACAAGUUGGCCUUCACUGCCAUCAACCCUAACAGGUGUGGUGCUCUAUCUCCACAGUCCUCCAGAGCGCCCUCAAGUCCCUCAGGGUGUCUUUACUCCAAGAAGGGGUUCUAGACUAGACAAGCAGAGGUGUUGCAGAAAGGAAGAUACUGCAAAGGGUGUGCUCCCCAAACUGGGGAAGACAUAUGGGCAGAAGGGCCUGGGCUGGACCUCACAUCCAUCCCUCUUCCCUUGGGGUCCUUGACCACCCUUGAGAAUGGCACCUACAUGCUCUAAUUCUCCAUAAAAUCCAGAGGCAAAAUGUCCCUGCUGUAAAGACCUUGAACCCUUUUUGGGAAGGUUUUAUGAACUUAAUAUCAUGGGUUGCUCUAACCCCAACCUUUGUCCUGACAGCAUCCGCUCAGGGAGUUUGAGAUUCAGCCAGUCUGUAAAGAGCUUCAGAUCCAGGGCUUUGAGGUGGGGAGAAGUGGUCACCUUGGAGAAAGCAGGAAACUGUGGCCAGCUGGGGCAUUCUUUGCUAUAGAUUCCAAGAGACAAACUUGCUGAUCCCAGGUCAAUUCUGCCCCUGCUUCCCUGCAUCUAGAACCAUCUCUGACUCCACCUCCCAUUAACACCCCAGAACAGAUUCCCUACCCACCUCCUCAAGAAGAACAUUGCCUCCGGGGAUUUUCUAAGAGUUUUUAGGAUAAGCAGCAGUUAGAAGCUAACAAUAAGUAAAAUUUCCAGAAAUCAAGAGAAACUUGCAAUGUUCCUUGACACUUUAAAUGAUGCACUUGAAACAAGAGGCUUGCAUUAGGAUCUAAAUUAGAGUUCUUGAGUGGCUUUUUCUAUUUUUUCUUUCACGUUAACCUGACUACAACUUUAUCUCCUCCAUUCACUUCCAAGAAGUCCUUAUAUAAUAAAGAGUUGAAGGCUGAAGCCCUUGCUUCCUCAAUAGGGGGCAGGCUCACCAGCUCCAUCUUGUCAGUUACCUCUUAAUGGUUGGUAGGAUGAGGGAAGCUUUCUCAAAAGACAGUUAAAAUAGUGCUUUAAGAAAUCCUCCGCCAAUAAAAAGUUGCUUCCAGAGUUAUAAAGUCAGUUUUCUUAACCUCUCAAUCUCAACUCAACUCAAAUUACAAAGUUUACAUGCCUUUGGGGAUGGCUGUAUUAAGUAAAUAGAGAGGAAUGGUCACAUUCAGUGUAAGCUAAAACACCCAAGGCUGGCAGUAGGAAAAGGAGCUACCUACCUAUCAGGUCUUUCAUAAAGCCAGUCCCUUAAGUAGAAAGAAUAAAGUUCUCUCAAGACUUACCCUAUGGACUGCCUUUCACAGCUGGUUCAUAUUUAUAAGCCAAUUUGUCUGGAAGUAAAUCUCUUUAACACACCCAACUGACUCCAAGAGGUGUGUCCCAUGGGAACCAAUCUUAAAUAACCGUCUCAAGAAAAGUUUUAGCAGCAAUAUUGUCAGUCCUGGAAUUUCCACCUUUGGGGGGAAAAAAAUCAACAAUAGAAUGCUUGGAAAUACAGAAUACACAGAGUUUAGCAAACUGCCAAAUUAAAUUCAGACACACACACACAAAUUUGCUAAUACCUGGUUAAAGAGUUGGCAUGGGAAGAAACAGACUUCUCAUUCAAGCCUGAAGCUCGGUAAUGGGUCAUUUGACCUGAAAUAACUUGGGCGGAAGUUGGCCUUAUUGUCUUCCACAAUCUCUUCCCACACAGUCAAAAAAGGGGAUGCAAUCUUAAGAUUUUUUCUUCCUCAUUCUCUCCCGCCCUUUCUCCUCUCCCUCCCUCCCUUUUAUUUUCUCUCUCUCCUUCCUUCCUUCUUUUCUUUCUCUUUCAAUCUUUGGGCAUCAAAAAGGGUAUCCCAGAAAACUUCAAAUGACGUUUUAGAAGAGGACCGUGUGUUGGUUUCAGUUGUUUUUAGGGUGGGGGCUUGAACAACCUCAUCUCAAAAACGGAGAUUUUUUUUAUUACCUCUUUUGGUUGAGAUAUAAUUAAUAUAUAAUAAAGCUAUCUAAUUUACUGAAUUGGUCUGAUUCACAAGUUAAAUAAGGUUAAAUCAAAGAAAACAUGUAUAAGUCCCUCUAGACAGUGUCCAGGGUUGACUGGAUUAUAAACAGACAUAACCACUGAGGUCACUUUUUAAUUUAAAAACCCUCAAUGGCUCCUGACUUCCUACAGAACAGUCUAAAAAUCUAAGGCUCAAAAAUGUCAGGCUCUCCUUUCUAGUGCUACCUGCUGCCCCCAUCUCUUAUACAUACCAUUUGUCAGAUGCAACCAGAUAAUAGAAAUUUCCAGUCUCUCAGCUUCCUCCUGCUGCCCCAGGUCUGCUUAUCAAGGCCCUGCCCAUCCUUCAAAGUCAGAAGUCAUCUCCUCCAUGGAGUCCUCCAGCAUGUGAACGUUCCCAAGGAUGGAAUAAACACCAUUUCUUAUGACAUGCCACUCGGUGGCCUCAGCAGGACCUGGAUUGGAUUUCUGUAUCAGCUCCUUACCUGCUGGAUGCCCUGGAAUGAGAGACUUGAUUACCUCUUGCCUUCAUUUUCCUCAUCUGUAAAACAAGGAUGGUGUUAUUUUUAUUUCCUGGAUCAGAGGGAGGAGGACAUUAAUAUAUGAAUUAGAUUAAUAUAUGGAAAGAACAUGAGGCCAGCCCCUGCCCCCAGGUAAGUGGUGGUGGUGGCAGUGAUGGCGGCAGAAGUAAAUGUUACCAUUCAAACACACCUGCGAGUUGGAAGGAGCCUCCUGCUAAUGGCGCAUGUGUUCUAAAGAGGUUGUCUGUUAACUUGUCCCCUAGUAAUUUGGGACGUCGGUGUCUGAAUUUUUAAAUUCCGGGAUUCCCACUUCCAUGUUUUUCCACCCACUCCUGACAGCACUUUGGGAAGUAAGAAAGAAAUUCAUUUCAUCCUAGUUUUCUGGACCUCUUUUUUCCUAUUCCACCAAGCUCUGUGUCUUCAACCCCAGGUGCCCUAUCGCAGGGUGAGGCACGCAGUGGGGAGCCAGAGUGAUGCUCCUGUAAUAUGAAUAAUUUGGACAUUUCUCUCCCCAUUCUAUCUAAUAGGUCUUUCUACAUAAUCCUUGUAUCCCCAGGAACUGGUCCUUCUCCCUGGAUUUCUGACCACAUCUUCUUACUGAUUCCUCGAGGACAGCUUCCGCUAGAGCUUUGCUAGUUCUGAACUCCUCCUUCUCAGCCAUGCUUCAUACUCAUUCUGUACCCCAAUUAACUGCUCGGGGGGCAACCAGCCUACUUCCAUGUUAACUUGAACCUCAAGCAGCCAGGCCCUCCAAGGUAUUCGGGUGACACUGAGUUCAGACCCAUCUUGUUUAUCCUCUCUAUGUAGCAUUAACCAUCAAAAAACAAAACAAAACAAAAAAAAAAACCCAUAAGAAAUUAUGGUUCAAAGAGUAUACUUUUGAUAUUGAAAUUAUUGUACUUUUCUCUAGGUCCUUGAAAAUCAGUUAUUUGUGAAGGCAUUUAUGGUAAACUUUGGCCGACUGGAAUAUUCAGUUAACCAGAACACUUGCAUAAUGUGAAGCUGUAAACACUUAGAUUGACCAGCUACUCUAUAAAAAGAGUCCAUACUGUUGCUAAGUUACAAUUAGACCUUAUGUCAGGACCCUAGAUGAUUAAGCAUUUUCUCCAUGGCAUGUGCUUGGAAAAGGAUGCUUUAUGCAAGAAUGUCACGGAUGGAUAAAAGUUACCAAGACUUGCUAUAUAGCACAAGGAACUCUACCCAAUAUUCUGUGAGAACCUAUAUGGGAAAAGAAUAUGAAAAAGAAUGGAUAUGUUGGAGUCCCUGUUGUGGCUCAGCAGUAACGAAC